rnacentral:tRNA from 1 species
GCCCUUGUAGCUCAGUGGCAGAGCACUCCCUUGGUAAGGGAGAGGUCACCAGUUCAAUCCUGGUCAAGGGCUCCA